rnacentral:misc_RNA from 1 species
UUUCUCUCAUUUAUUUAUUUUUAGAGAGAAAUUCCUCUAUAUUCUUCUAGUUUUUCUACCUUAUUUUCUUAGAUCUGCCGAGUGUCUGCUCUCAUUUUGCUUUUCCUAGGACAUUGGUUCGUGGCCUGGGUUGGGGCAACUCUCCCUCACCUGUGUUGGGUGUAUAAAGAAUUUGGAGUUGUGGUUGUUUUGCAAGAUGGGAGGUAUUUGUGAGAGCAAAUAGUUAUCCUGUGAUGGCUGGUUGUAGGAAUUCUUGUUGCUUUUGUUGCUUAUGGUUUCUCUUCCUUAGUCUUUAGCUUUGGCUUUAGGUGGUUUAGCGACACUAUCCAAUGGUUUUUUUUUAAGUUUUUGUGUGCUUCAAAUGGUCUUUGAUAAGUUAGCU